GGGACCUCCUAGAUACCUUAGUAUAACAAAAAGUAGUACAGAAUAAAAAUGAGACACAUAUUACAAGUGUGAUAUUGGUGUGUUUGGUAUGACGGAAAAUAUUUUCUUGGAACUAUUUCUAGUUCGUAUCGUUAAGUAUCAUUCAUGAUGGUUGAUCUUGUUUUUGCUAUUCUUGACAAAGGAAACAAUAGAGUGACAAAUUUUCUCACCCAUCAUGGUGGAAACAUGUUUUUUCUCUUUAGGAAUUACACUUCCUUUCUUAGGAUUGAAUGGAAAUAC
rnacentral:lncRNA from 1 species